rnacentral:rRNA from 1 species
UACGUAGGGGGCAAGCGUUGUCCGGAAUCAUUGGGCGUAAAGCGCGUGUAGGCGGCUCGAUAAGUCUGCUGUGAAAGUCCAAGGCUCAACCCUGGGAUGCCGGUGGAUACUGUCGGGCUCGAGUCCGGAAGAGGCGAGUGGAAUUCCUGGUGUAGCGGUGAAAUGCGCAGAUAUCAGGAGGAACACCAAUGGCGAAGGCAGCUCGCUGGGACGUGACUGACGCUGAGACGCGAAAGCGUGGGGAGCAAACAGG